AUGCUACCCAUGCUACAAACAUCUACUGGGAGUAGAUGCAGAAAUAUUGAGCCGCGACAAAGCUUUUUUGACGCUCGUGUGGCGGCAGUGACGUCGAUUUUGUCGCUUCUCGCGUGUAUCUGCCGCGUGUCGCUUGUUAUGGGAUUCGGGCUUAUACAUAGAGAUCAGUGAUUGCCGCACGCGAUAACAAAGCGCGAUCUUCUUGCUCCUUAUAAAACAGGGCACGGCACGUGACAACAGGUUAAGCUAGUGAUAUAAUUCCUUUUCACGCCGUCUGCUUUCCCUUGUUACGUUUUUCUUUAUUUUUUACUCGGUCCUUCCAAUGCCUUCGUGCGGCAAUGAGAUACCUUGCGGCCACCCCCAGACGAGCCCACUUUUUGUUUGCGACCUUCUCCGCUAGUAUGGCGCUUAUCGGAGCGAGGCCACGGAAACGAGUAGAAAGUUAGAAGUGUCCCUGACAGUACAGGUGUCACACAUAUAUAAAUUAUAAUAUGGCGAUGACGUAUUCCAUUUAACUUAUGUUAUCCUACUUGUCCCGUACUGAACAUUGUCAACAUCUACAAAUUUAAUUUUAGGGGCCUUUCAGUGUUGAAGUGGCGUCAGGCUGCUUCUUGUGUGUGUGAUCCAGGCACUCAAGUUGACAUGACAGAAAUAGCUGAAAGCAGGUUUUACAACUCUAUCAAGCAUGGCAAAACAUCAGAGGGCAGGAAGUCCUACUCUGUUUCCUAAAUCCCUGGACAAUAAAGAAGAAAGAUAUAGAACAUGAAAGAACUGAUGUUCUGAGGCUGGAACAACAUAGAAGAGACAAAUACAUGCAAAUCAGGAUGCAAUACAGAAGAUGUGGGUUCGAGUCCUAAAAGCCUCAAAACAUCAGUUCUUUCAUGUUCAACAGUUGCCGCCUGCGUCAAUCCCGUCGUAUGAAUGUGUGUAUGAGUGAGCAAAAAUGUAAGAGUGAAAGGAGGAUGAGUGAGAGAGAGUGGCUGGUUUGUCCCUUCAGAUGACGCACCCUGGAAGUCGCUGAGAAGGCGUGUUAGCUUAGCUCAAUUGGUAGAGCCCUGGACCGGCAAUCCAGAAGAUGUGGGUUCGAGUCCUACAGCUAGUUAACCUUUUCAGUGACUUUCAUCUUUCAAAGAAAGAUAUAGUUUGAGUUGUGACAAAAUGUUGCUUCUGCUCUUACAUUAUAUUUCAAUUAAACGUUA